GAUAUUGCCUUGUCUAGGUAUAAGCACUAUACAGUGAAACUGCGAAUGGCUCAUUAAAUCAGUUAUCGUUUAUUUGAUAGUACCUUACUACUUGGAUAACCGUGGUAAUUCUAGAGCUAAUACAUGCUAAAAAUCCCGACCUCCGGAAGGGAUGUAUUUAUUAGAUAAAAAACCAAUGCCCUCGGGCUCCUUGGUGAUUCAUGAUAACUUAACGAAUCGCAUGGCCUUGCGCCGGCGAUGGUUCAUUCAAAUUUCUGCCCUAUCAACUUUCGAUGGUAGGAUAGUGGCCUACCAUGGUUUCAACGGGUAACGGGGAAUUAGGGUUCGAUUCCGGAGAGGGAGCCUGAGAAACGGCUACCACAUCCAAGGAAGGCAGCAGGCGCGCAAAUUACCCAAUCCCGAUACGGGGAGGUAGUGACAAUAAAUACUGAUACAGGGCUCUUUUGGGUCUUGUAAUUGGAAUGAGUACAAUUUAAAUCCCUUAACGAGGAACAAUUGGAGGGCAAGUCUGGGCCC
rnacentral:rRNA from 1 species